GUCUACAGCCAUACCACCCUGAAUGUGCUUGAUCUCAUGAAGCUAAGCAGGAUCAGGCCUGGUUAGUACUUGGAUGGGAGGCAGAAAACUGAGAGAGAACAGUGCUAUGGAAG
rnacentral:rRNA from 1 species